GAGCGGCGAACGGGUGAGUAACACGUGAGCAACCUACCCUCAACUUUGGGAUAAGCCUCGGAAACGGGGUCUAAUACCGGAUAAUAUCGCGCUCCUCAUGGGGUGUGGUUGAAAGUUCUGGCGGUUGGGGAUGGGCUCGCGGCCUAUCAGCUUGUUGGUGGGGUAAUGGCCUACCAAGGCGUCGACGGGUAGCCGGCCUGAGAGGGCGACCGGCCACACUGGGACUGAGACACGGCCCAGACUCCUACGGGAGGCAGCAGUGGGGAAUAUUGCGCAAUGGACGAAAGUCUGACGCAGCAACGCCGCGUGAGGGAUGACGGCCUUCGGGUUGUAAACCUCUUUCAGCAGGGACGAAGCGAGAGUGACGGUACCUGCAGAAGAAGGACCGGCCAACUACGUGCCAGCAGCCGCGGUAAUACGUAGGGUCCGAGCGUUGUCCGGAAUUAUUGGGCGUAAAGGGCUCGUAGGCGGUUCGUCACGUCGGGAGUGAAAACUCGGGGCUUAACCCCGAGCCUGCUUCCGAUACGGGCAGACUAGAGGUAGGCAGGGGAGAGCGGAACUCCU
rnacentral:rRNA from 1 species